ensembl:lncRNA
UAUCCAUGAUGCAUAGAGGGUGUGUUUACAGUCUGGGUGAAGCUGCAGUGUCGGUAGCACAGAGAAAGGAUUAGACAUUUUUAUUUAUUUUUAUUUCACCUUUAUUUAACCAGGUAGGCCAGUUGAGAACAAGUUCUCAUUUACAACUGCGACCAGGCCAAGAUAAAGCAAAGCAGUGCGACAAAAACAACAACAGAGUUACACGUGAUAAACAAACGUCCAGUCAAUAACGCAUUAGAAAAAUCUAUAUACAGUGUGUGCAAAUGAAGUAAGGAGGUAAAGGCAAUAAAUAGGCCAAUAGUGGCGAAGUAAUUACAAUUUAGCAAUUUACACUGGAUAGAUAUAUGUGCAUAUGAAGAUGUGCAAGUAGAAAUACUGGUGUGCAAAAGAGCAGAAAAGGUGGGCUGUGUACAGCUGCAGAGAUCGUCAUUGGCAGCAGAGAACUGGAAGGAAAGGCGGUCAAAGCAGGUGUUGGCUUUGGGGAUGACCAGUGAAAAAUACCUGCGGAGGAGCGUGCUACGGGACCAUUCACACAGUCCAGUCAGUCACACAGUCCAGAAGCUCGGGCCUACCCUACUUCCUCCUACAACACCCUGAUGAGAAGCAAAAAACCUGGCCCCAGGACUCGCCCCACAGGCGAGGGUCCACCAGAAACUCAGUGGGUGGUCGGUCUGGGGGAAGCCCUGGCAGUGAUGAAGGAUCUCCUACCUUGACAUUUUUCAAAAAAAUGAACCCAGUGUGUCGAGGCACCGAUCUGUGGGGACAGGUCUCUGAAUGUCCUUGAGUGGCCCAGCCAGAGCCCGGACUUAAAUCCGAUCUAACAUCUCUGGAGAGACCUGAAAUCACUGUGCAGCGACGCUCCCCAUCCAACCUGACAGAGCUUUUGGAGCUGUAAUUGCUGCCAAAGAUGCUUCAACAAAGUACUGAGUAAAGGGUCUGAAUACUUAUGUAAAUGUAAUAUUUCAGUUUUCUUUCAAUUUAUAAAUUAUAAUAAAAAUCUAAAAAUCA